GAUGAACGCUGGCGGCGUGCUUAACACAUGCAAGUCGAACGGUGAAGCCAAGCUUGCUUGGUGGAUCAGUGGCGAACGGGUGAGUAACACGUGAGCAACCUGCCCUGGACUCUGGAUAAGCGCUGGAAACGGCGUCUAAUACUGGAUAUGAGACGUGAUCGCAUGGUCGUGUUUGGAAAGAUUUUUCGGUCUGGGAUGGGCUCGCGGCCUAUCGGCUUGUUGGUGAGGUAAUGGCUCACCAAGGCGUCGACGGGUAGCCGGCCUGGGAGGGUGACCGGCCACACUGGGACUGAGACACGGCCCAGACUCCUACGGGAGGCAGCAGUGGGGAAUAUUGCACAAUGGGCGGAAGCCUGAUGCAGCAACGCCGCGUGAGGGAUGACGGCCUUCGGGUUGUAAACCUCUUUUAGCAGGGAAGAAGCGAAAGUGACGGUACCUGCAGAAAAAGCGCCGGCUAACUACGUGCCAGCAGCCGCGGUAACAC
rnacentral:rRNA from 1 species